rnacentral:rRNA from 1 species
AUGCCCCUGGACUUCACCAAGCACUUUGUCGUGGUGCCGACGGAGUUCAAGCUCAGGAACAACACCGGCUGCUCCUGGAAGGUGAUGGUCAAGCUGAUGAACGGCAGGGUGACCCUGGAUCAGGGUUGGGCCACCUACACAGCCGUUCAUCAGAUCAAGAUCGACUACAUGGUGACGUUCAAGCUCCUCACUCCCGACACCCUCAAGGUCAUCAUCUUCGACGAUGAUGGCAUUGAGGUCGUCAACAAGUGUGGGAAGCACGACGAAGCCUUCGCCGCCAAGGAGUAG